GGGUGCGAUCAUACCAGCACUAAUGCACCGGAUCCCAUCAGAACUCCGCAGUUAAGCUAAGCGUGCUUGGGCGAGUACUAUGUUGGGUGACCACUUGGGAAGUACUCGUGUUGCACCCC